GAAUACCCGCUGAACUUAAGCAUAUCAAUAAGCGGAGGA
rnacentral:rRNA from 2 species